CCCUGAACGCCUCUCUGCCUGUGGCCCGUCUGAUGCUCUGUGGGGGCCUACAGGUCCCUGAACACCUCUCUGUCUGUGGCCCUAGUUAUUAGUUGGUGAGUUCUGUAACCAUCUGGUCU